rnacentral:rRNA from 3 species
CAAAUGACUCUCGGCAACGGAUAUCUCGGCUCACGCAUCGAUGAAGAACGUAGCAAAAUGCGAUACUUGGUGUGAAUUGCAGAAUCCCGUGAACCAUCGAGUUUUUGAACGCAAGUUGCGCCCGAAGCCUUUUGGUCGAGGGCACGUCUGCCUGGGCGUCACAU